rnacentral:rRNA from 1 species
CUACGGGGCGCUCCAGUGAGGAAUAUUGCACAAUGGGGGGAACCCUGAUGCAGCAACGCCGCGUGGAGGAUGACGCAUUUCGGUGUGUAAACUCCUUUUAUAUGUCAAGAAAAUGACGGUAGCAUAUGAAUAAGCACCGGCUAACUCCGUGCCAGCAGCCGCGGUAAUACGGAGGGUGCAAGCGUUAAUCGGAAUCACUGGGCGUAAAGGACGCGUAGGCGGUUUGGAAAGUCUGGUGUGAAAUCCUACAGCUUAACUGUAGAACUGCACUUGAAACUUCUAAUCUAGAGUAUGGGAGGGGGAGAUGGAAUUAGUGGUGUAGGGGUAAAAUCCGUAGAUAUCACUAGGAAUACCUAAAGCGAAGGCGAUCUCCUGGAACAUUACUGACGCUAAGGCGUGAAAGCGUGGGGAGCAAACAGGAUUAGAUACCCGAGUAGUC